rnacentral:rRNA from 1 species
CAGAGGUGGCAAGCGUUGUUCGGAAUUACUGGGCGUAAAGGGCGCGUAGGCGGUCUUGCAAGUCCUGUGUGAAAUCCCUCGGCUCAACUGGGGAACUGCACAGGAAACUGCUUGGCUUGAGUUCGGGAGAGGGAAGCGGAAUUCCGGGUGUAGCGGUGAAAUGCGUAGAUAUCCGGAGGAACACCGGUGGCGAAGGCGGCUUCCUGGACCGACACUGACGCUGAGGCGCGAAAGCUAGGGGAGCAAACGGGAUUAGAUACCCCGGUAGUCCUAGCUGUAAACGAUGAGCGCUGGGUGUGGCGGGUAUUAACCCCUGCUGUGCCGAAGCUAACGCAUUAAGCGCUCCGCCUGGGGAGUACGGUCGCAAGGCUG